GGAGUUAGCCGGUGCUUCUUCUGCGAGUAACGUCACAGAUGUAAGGUAUUAACUUACACCCUUUCCUCCUCGCUGAAAGUGCUUUACAACCCGAAGGCCUUCUUCACACACGCGGCAUGGCUGCAUCAGGGUUUCCCCCAUUGUGCAAUAUUCCCCACUGCUGCCUCCCGUAGGAGUCUGGGCCGUGUCUCAGUCCCAGUGUGGCUGAUCAUCCUCUCAGACCAGCUAGGGAUCGUCGCCUAGGUGAGCCUUUACCUCACCUACUAGCUAAUCCCACCUGGGCUUAUCCAUCAGCGCAAGGCCCGAAGGUCCCCUGCUUUCCCCCGUAGGGCGUAUGCGGUAUUAGCAGUCGUUUCCAACUGUUAUCCCCACAAAUGGGCAAAUUCCCAGGCAUUACUCACCCGUCCGCCGCUCGUCAUCUUCAAAAGCAAGCUUUUGAAAUGUUACCGCUCGACUUGCAUGUGUUAGGCCUGCCGCCAGCGUUCAAUCUGAGCCAUAAUCAAACUCUGA
rnacentral:rRNA from 1 species